rnacentral:rRNA from 1 species
AGGACGAACGCUGGCGGCGUGCCUAACACAUGCAAGUCGAACGGACGAGGGGAGCUUGCUCCCCAAGUUAGUGGCGGACGGGUGAGUAACACGUGAGCAACCUGCCCUUCGAGGGGGACAACUAGCGGGAAACUGCUGCUAAUACCGCAUAACGUAUCUGGGAGGCAUCUUCCGGAUACCAAAGAUUUUAUCGCCGAAGGAUGGGCUCGCGUCUGAUUAGAUAGUUGGCGGGGUAACGGCCCACCAAGUCGACGAUCAGUAGCCGGACUGAGAGGUUGAACGGCCACAUUGGGACUGAGAUACGGCCCAGACUCCUACGGGAGGCAGCAGUGGGGAAUAUUGGGCAAUGGGGGCCAACCCUGACCCAGCAACGCCGCGUGGAGGAAGAAGGCUUUCGGGUUGUAAACUCCUUUGACGAGGGACGAUAGUGACGGUACCUCGAAAACAAGCCACGGCUAACUACGUGCCAGCCGCUGC